CAUAACAGUYUGAGCGGUAGAGAGGUGCUUGCACCUCUUGAGAGCGGCGGACGGGUGAGUAAUACCUAGGAAUCUGCCUGGUAGUGGGGGAUAACGUUCGGAAACGGACGCUAAUACCGCAUACGUCCUACGGGAGAAAGCAGGGGACCUUCGGGCCUUGCGCUAUCAGAUGAGCCUAGGUCGGAUUAGCUAGUUGGUGAGGUAAUGGCUCACCAAGGCUACGAUCCGUAACUGGUCUGAGAGGAUGAUCAGUCACACUGGAACUGAGACACGGUCCAGACUCCUACGGGAGGCAGCAGUGGGGAAUAUUGGACAAUGGGCGAAAGCCUGAUCCAGCCAUGCCGCGUGUGUGAAGAAGGUCUUCGGAUUGUAAAGCACUUUAAGUUGGGAGGAAGGGCAUUAACCUAAUACGUUAGUGUUUUGACGUUACCGACAGAAUAAGCACCGGCUAACUCUGUGCCAGCAGCCGCGGUAAUACAGAGGGUGCAAGCGUUAAUCGGAAUUACUGGGCGUAAAGCGCGCGUAGGUGGUUUGUUAAGUUGAAUGUGAAAUCCCCGGGCUCAACCUGGGAACUGCAUCCAAAACUGGCAAGCUAGAGUAUGGUAGAGGGUAGUGGAAUUUCCUGUGUAGCGGUGAAAUGCGUAGAUAUAGGAAGGAACACCAGUGGCGAAGGCGACUACCUGGACUGAUACUGACACUGAGGUGCGAAAGCGUGGGGAGCAAACAGGAUUAKAUACCCUGGUAGUCCACGCCGUAWACGAUGUCAKCUAGCCGUUGGGAGUCUUGAACUCUUAGUGGCGCAGCUAACGCAUUAAGUUGACYGCCUGGGGAGGACRGCCGCRCGGUUAAACUCAAGCAAUUGAAYKGGRAAAAAA
rnacentral:rRNA from 1 species